CUUGCUUUUUGAGUAAAUUAAACUCUGAAUUUUUGAUUGACUUGAACUAAUUUAUAUUAAGUAAGCAAAACUUGAAAGUAUAAUUUAAGCACAACUUAAAAGAAUUAAGUAAUUAUAUAUGGAAAUAUAUGAGUUGACUUAGUGAGCACUUUAGCAGGGGUGGUGACCUAGUGGUUAGUGGGCUUGGCUUUGGUACAGAAGGUUUCUGGUUCAAACCCCACCCCUGCCACAUUUCUGUAUGUUGGUGUUAAACUUGUGUCAACUCAACAUGCAAAUCAACCUCUGAUCUGCUGUGGUGACCCUGAGUGAAAAGCAAGGGAGCAGCUGAAGGGACUUAAUGAACACUUUAAUGUAAUUGUAACCAUGAGGUACAAGUAGCAUAUAAUCAAAACUUUUAAGUUCUGGGAACAGUUGGCUUUAAUUUUAUGAACUAAAAAAUAUUGUGGCAACUGAUUACCCCAGUAUUUUUUAGUUCUGCCAGCUUGUUUGGGUUUACAGUGUACUUUAUGCCAAGUAUUAUUACUUUCUGACAUGUAUUCUCAACACUAAGUACUUUAAGAGAUCUAUAAAUGUGAUUGGGCACUGUUUAUAGGAAUAUCACAGACAAAAGCUUCAGGCUGGGUUUGAACUUAGAACCUUUUGGUUUUGAAGCAGCAGCAGCACUUUCGUAGCAUUGAACCAGCAAUGAUAUGAUUAACUUUGAGUAAAGAAGUCCAACUCUGCAAGGUGUAACAAAGAGUGUUAAAAUAAGCCUUUCAGAGUUGAAAUCAGCCAUGAAAUUUUUGUGAAAUGUUUUAAAAUCACUAAUGUUUUUUCUGUGAAAUACAUCGAUUUUUGUUUUCUUCUUUGUGCGAUAAAGUUUUUAUCGUUUACUUAUUCCUUUUGGCACCACACUGCCAGUAAUGUGGGAUUUUACAUUUUGACAAAUAAGAAAAGUAGCACAGGAACCAUUUUUCUGUCACGGGACAUGUGUGUUUGUGGUGGAAAUUUGGCUCCAGCACUGGCACUCAUCAAAUGUGGAAAAAUGGUAUCAGCUGUAGGUCUAUGUGUUUCCCAAAUGAUUUCUACUAUACUUCAUGGGUCAGAGUUGUAACAAUCUA